UCCGGUUUGUCACCGGCAGUCCCCCAUGAGUCCCCGGCAUUAUCCGCUGGCAACAUGGGGCAAGGGUUGCGCUCGUUGCGGGACUUAACCCAACACCUCACGGCACGAGCUGACGACAGCCAUGCACCACCUGUGAUGGUGCCCCGAAGGGAGACCGUGUUUCCACGGCUGUCACCAACAUGUCAAGCCCAGGUAAGGUUCUUCGCGUUGCGUCGAAUUGAACCACAUGCUCCGCUGCUUGUGCGGGUCCCCGUCAAUUCCUUUGAGUUUUAGCCUUGCGGCCGUACUCCCCAGGCGGGGCACUUACCGCGUUUGCUGCGGCACCGAGGGGGUCGAUACCCCCGACACCUAGUGCUCAUCGUUUACAGCGUGGACUAC
rnacentral:misc_RNA from 1 species